GCGGGCUCCCCGGCAAAAUGGCGGCGCCGGCGGCGGCGGGGUGGAUGCGGCGCCGCCGCAGCGCGCGCCAUGCCCGGUAGCCGGCGGAAGGGACCUUGCCUCAGGCCCGCCGCCCUGAGGAGGCGGAGCGGCGGCGGCGAGGAGCAGCUCACCCGGCGGCGGCCGGCGGAGCUCCCCCCGGAGGAGAAGGAGGAGGAGGCGGCGUCGGCGGCCGGCGGUGCGGGCCAGGACCUGCCCGCGGGGGAGGCGCCGCGCGCGCCCCGGCCGUCGCAGUCGCGGGAGGCGGCGGUGCGCGGCGCUGCAGAGUCAUGUUUACAUAAAACACCAAAGAGAUCGUUGAGUAGGAAAUCCCGAAUACCUACUUUCAGCUCUCCUGUUAAUGACACCGAUAUCCAGCAAGAAAUCUUUUGGGAUCCUCAUUCACCAAUUGCACACAGACUAGGCAAUGGAAAAACCAAACAGUCUACCAGUAGAUGCGCAGUAGAAAUUUCAGAAAUUGUUAAUCGUAUUGCUCCUCAGGAUGAAAAAGCAGCCUGUAAUGAAGGCUCCCUUUUAGGGACAUGGAUUGGUGAGGAUGCUAUUCCUUGUACACCUGGAGUAGUAAAAGCGCGAACUAGGACGAAGUUAAGUUGUACAAGAGAUCUUAAAAUAAAAAAUCCUGAAGAGGAACUCAUGAAAUUGGCUAAGGAAUUUGAUAAAAAUCUAGUAGAGCUAGAUGCUGUUCAGGAACAAGAGAAGCUUGGUCAUCACUUCAUCCAGACCACCUCAGAGUCUUUAAAUAAUUCUAAAGAUGGAGUAAAUAUGAAGAACUUGAAAUCACUCCUUGGUGAAUUUUCUGAAACAGAUACUGCUCUGUCCCUGAAACCAGUUGGACAGAGCACUGGCAUCCCUGCUGGAGAGCCUUGUCAAUCUAGCAGUCAAAAGUCCAUAGAUCUUGAGUCUGAAAUAGCCCUUCAUGCUCUUUUUGACUGCUCUACCCAGAAGUGUAGUGGACAGUUGAGCCAAGGACUAUCAGGUAUUUCUUUAAAUAAUAGUUUCCAUGAAAAUAAAAGCACCUUGGAUGAGGAACACCUUCCUGAGCAAAUUAAAGACAUGCAACGUGGUAAUUCGGAGGCAUAUCGAAAAGAUAGUCUGUGUGCAUUAGGAAGCGUGAACCAGACUUUUCCAAAACCUGAUACGCAUGUGUUGACAAAAAAAAAUCCUUCUUCUUUGAAGACACAAUUGGUGGUCUCCAGUAAGCUUGCUGGAGUAGUUAAUGAUGACUUUGAUGACUGGGAUACAGAUUUUUUGGCAGAUGACUCUUUUGUGAUGCAAAUAACCCAAAAUCCUGAAUUGUUAAGUACUGAAGAAGCACCACCAAUUCGUACAAAUCCAUCUGUGCGUGGUUUCACUGAUGCUAGCAGAACAAAGGAAAGAAGUUCCAAUUCAGUAACUUGUUUGGGGAGUGUACGCAAAUCUAACAGUUUGCAGUUUUCACCUUCGAAACACUGUAGUAAAAACACACGAAAUGUGAAAUCUCUUUCUUUACAAAAGCCAUAUAAGACACAAAACUCAAAGACAGAGACCAUAGCCUUUCAUGGCAAAUGUGACGUUAAGCCAGAUAAAAUAAAUUCUAUUGGGAAAAGUGCCCAAACCAGUAAUUUGAACUAUAUUCCUGUUUCAGUGCAAUCUGAAGUGAAGAAUGGAAAUGAAACUAUUCAGCCCAAAAGUGACCCUCUUCCUCUGUUUCCUUCAAGAUCUAAUCCUCAUAGACAAUGGACUGAAAAACCUGGGAAUAACACAUACAGUAUUUUCUGUCAAUCAUCCAGUGUUUCUACCAAUACGAAACCUAAUGAUCUAACUAAAAUGGUUAACCAAGCUAAUACAGAUAACUUAAAUCAAGUUGAAGUACCAAAGAAAUGUCCUGUGUCCUGUGAUGACUGGAAUGAACCGCAAUUUUCUGAUGAGGUAUUAGAUAUGUUUUGUGAAUCCGAUAGUCUUUGGGAUGCAAACCGUGAGGAUGAUGAAUUGUUGUAUCAGGUGUGUGAUGAUAUAGAAAAGCAGACUCAGAGCCAGGAUGUUAAACAAGGAAAUGAAAGAGCUAAAACUAUACAAGGAGCCAGUAUUAAUUCCAGAUCAAAUGCUGAUAACAGCUUCCCAGCAUCUAAACAAGGACUACCUGAUCUCCUCUUGGCACAAAAACCAAAUGCAAAACAGGACACUUUCUCACUAAACAAUUCCUGUAGGAAUUCAUCAAAGGUUACGCAUGGGCUGGCCAGAACAGGUCACGUAGUGAACUGUAAAAACGUCUCAAGUCCUUUAACUAUGAUCUCGGGUACUUCUAUGGAGUGUAAAGAUACACUGUCUAAAAACUGUCAUCAAGACACUUCUGAAGAUACUACAAAGACUGUUUCGGGAAAAUGGUAUAGGUCAAAUUCUGUGCCGGCAGGAGAGCCUGGUUCUGAAGCAAGUCCUGUUAAUGCAGUAAACGUUUUCAGUAGCAAAACACUAGACAGCCCAGAUCUUUUGUGUAAUACAGGAAAGAUGCUAAAUAACGGUUCUGCUAACAGAAUAUCACUUAUACCUUCAAAGUUUAAGUUCCAAAAGACUAACAGUUCUCAGGGUGCUCUUCAUGUAGGGUCUGAAAAGCCAGGGAGUCAUUCUGGCAUUGGAAUUACUCUGCAGAGUUUGGAAGGAAGCAAGAAUCAGGUGAAUGUGACUUUGCACAGCAAGCUUGACAAUAAGAAACCACCUUUCAAGAGGCACCUUUCAGAGUCUUUUGUACUGCCUACAUCAGUGUCUGUGGCAGAACAAAAAAAUAGAAAAUGUUCUCAAGAAGAGAUUGAAAGAAAAAAACAAGCAGCUCUUGCACGAAGAAAAUCCAGAAUGCAGGCAUUCUUUAAAGAUGCUUGAAUUUGGAGUUUAUUUUGUCUAUGGAGUAAGUUUUUGGGAGGGAAAUAUUGUAAUACUGGAAGACAGUUUUUAAACUCUGUUCACAGCUACUGACGGCAAACUUUUUCUAUUUCUCAAUUUAAAAAGAUCUUGACCUGAACCAUAACUAAUACUCUGGUGCUAUUUAGUCUUAAUUAAAAACUACCAGUUGUAAAUGUGUAGUCCCAAACUACCUUCAGCCCAAUGAAGAUUGUAUUGAGUUCACAUACUGUUAUGUGUUGAAAUUGUAUAGUCUGAAAAUCAUCAGCGCAUGAAGGUGUUUGUAUAUACACGAAAGUAGAUGUCAAAACCAGACUGUAUGUGUUUUGGCUGUAUUACUGCAAAUAUUUUAAUCUAUAAUAAGACUCUCAAGUACGCACAGACUAAGAAAUACUAAUGUUUGCUCUCAGGUAGAAGAAAGUUUUGGUUUAAAGAAAGUACAAUCUAGAAAACAUCUAACAUCGGAAAACUAAUGGAAAUGAACAGGAUUUGGAAAGCGUGUUCAGUUUGUCUCCAUUACCUUAGGUGAUGCUAAUUUUCUCAACACCCAGGAUAGAAGGGCCCUAGAGCUGCCCACCUGAAAUGCCACCACUGGUCUCCCCCUCAGAGCAGGAUACUGACGCAUUUCAUGAUGAGUGAUGUUACUCGCUAAAAUCCAAGAAUUAUAUUUUUCAGGUAAACCUGUGGUGGGUUUUUUUCCAUUUAGGAAAGGCAGACAUGAUCAGAUAGUGGAGGGGUAAUGAAAAGGACCAGCCAGAAGUAAUGCGCCCAGAGAUCUGUAUAAAAAUCCAGAUUUCAUUAACAGGGCCAUGACAUCUAGGAACGGGAUUGAUACAGAUGGCAGCUCAGUUACAGAGUUCAGCUGAUGCUGAGCGUAUGUUAAGCAUGGAAAACAGAUUACUAUGAGCUCCAAUCUAUCUCAUGUGGUAUGUUUUGGAAACCCUAUCUGUUUACUCCAGGGGCAACAGAUCUACGGAGGUAAAAUCCACAUGGUUUCAAAAAGACUAUCUGAGGGGAAGCUGGAAAAGUAUCUCAAGCUCUUAUAGUGUUCCCAUGGACCUGGAAAUUCUGAUCCCAAUGACAUUAGUAGAUUUUUUUCCUUAAGACUACACCUGCACUUCUCCUUCUUGGGACCUGCAGCUGGAAGAAGAGUUUAGCUCCAGCCAGCUUGUGCAGCAGAACUGGAGUCUGCCCCAACAAGUGGGACAUCCCCACACUUGAAACAGUUUUGGUUUUCAUCUCUGAAUUGGUUUCUUUUUUCCCUGCUCUAAACUCUUUGCAAAUCCUCCCCUUUUACCUUACAUUCCUUCUCAUCGGCUUGCCUAUUGCCUAAAUAUUUUUUUUUGUUUGCUUAUGUUUUAUCUACAUCAGUAUUUAUUUUUCUUAAAAGUGCCUUUCCCCCCACAUUCUGUUUCAAAAUUUUUCCUCUGCUUGUUAUCAGGCCUCAUUGCCUCUAACACCUUGUUCCUGACCCUUGCCCCAGCUCAGCUGUCUUCUCCUUUCCUAUUCCUCACUUUCUUUCUCCACUUGCUCCCUUUUGCCCCCCAUUUCCCCUUGACUGCCCAGGUCACCCUCUCCUCCCCCAAAUGGGGCACACAGCAGGGCUGGCCUCCUUCCCCCUCACCCAGACAUCUUCACAUGAGCCUGAAAUACAUACAGCAGCAGAGGGGCCUUAUACAUGUGUAUCAAAAGCUUGAUGCACAUAAAUAAAAGAAAGUUGGUGACUAAUUUAUUUUCUCAGUAUCUAUUAAACACAGACUAAACUGCCCUGGACAUAUUUAGGCUGGAAAUUAGAAGAAGGUUUACAACCACGAGAAGAAAGACAGCCUCUCAGUAGGAGUAGUGAGGGCAAGAAACCUAAAUGGUUUCAAGAUGGAACUAGAUAAGUGUUUGAAAGACAUCAUAUGAUGUGGUUGCCUUCAACAGCAGGGGACAGGACUUGAUGACUUAGGAAGUUCCUUUCAGUCUUAAUUCUUAUCUUCCUGUGUGGGCCAAAUGUCACCCACAGCAGUCUGCUGAUGAGCCCUAUAGAGAUGAGGCACAGGAAAGGCAGCCGCAGGCCUCUGCAGGCUGCAGUCGCCUUCGCAGUUCCACCAUGUAGUCACUUUGCCAACUGGGGUGAAAAGGGAACCAGUAAGACUUGAGUACCAUCAUGAAGCGCUCUAAAGUAUGUUUAAAAAGGAUGACGAAGUGCCCAGGCUGCUCAGAUGUGAAUGUAAUGUGCUGCAAUGCCCUCUCUGCUUUUCCUCCACACAGAAGAGGAUAGCAGCUAGGAUCUUUUUUCCCAUUUCUGAAAAGUUGCCUGCCUUUGGUUGGGAAAACUCAGGCUCUGCAGCAGUCAAGGUACAUUUGCUCCACAUAUAAGGUCUCACAGGAAUUGACACACUGAACAAUAAAGUAGAUUUAAGCUAAAAAGCAAAAUCCAACAUCAUCUGCUGGUUCAAUCACAUGCUUACUUGUACAACGGCUGCAGAAUUAGUGCUCACAGUUGACAGCCUGGGCACAAGCUCACAAUUAACUGCAACUAUGCCAGAAAAGCUUGAGGAGGUACCGCCUCUCAGCUGAGCUGUCCCUGCCAGCAGUCCCCACCGCAAGCUCAAAAUGUUGGCUUAAAUCUUCAUCAGAACGUUGAUUUUAGCAUCUUCGGCAAAAGAAAUACAAGCUGAUACACUUUGCCUUGCAAUGGAGAUGGGCUACCAGUGCUCACAGCAGCUCAGCUGAAGGGAGGUAACUUAUUAAGCUGUUUUAGCUCACCUGCCCAAAAUUGCUGCAGGUGUUAGCAGCUGGGGAUGACAUGGUCAGCAGUGAUGCUUGGAGGGCAGGUUGACAUCUGCGAGUCUUCUAAGACCUCCAUAACACAACCCGCAAAGCCCUGUCAGACCAG